rnacentral:rRNA from 1 species
AUUGAACGCUGGCGGCAGGCCUAACACAUGCAAGUCGAACGAGUGGCGGACGGGUGAGUAAUGUCUGGGAAACUUCCUGAUGGAGGGGGAUAACUACUGGAAACGGUAGCUAAUACCGCCUACCCUCAGAUGCGCCCAGGUGGGAUUAGCUAGUUGGUGGGGUAACGGCUCACCAAGGCGACGAUCCCUAGCUGGUCUGAGAGGAGGACCAGACACACUGGAACGGAGACACGGUCCAGACUCCUACGGGAGGCAGCAGUGGGGAAUAUUGCACAAUGGGCGAAAGCCGGAUGCAGCAAUGCCGCGUGUAUGAAGAAGGCCUUCGGGUUGUAAAGUACUUUCAGCGGGGAGGCGUUACCCGCAGAAGAAGCACCGGCUAACGCCGUGCCAGCAGCCGCGGUAAUUC